UGGCUCUUGGGAAAUGCUAUCAGAGACUCAAGUCACAGAAACCAAAGCGCCAACUGUGUAGCCUGAUUCAUGCGAAACCUCAAUGAUGUUUCAUUUUCAAGCACAGCGAUCUCAUUCAGCUAAUGGUGGGCCACGCCAUUCCCAGCACCCACUGAGACAACCAUCAGAUGACGAGGCAAAACAAAGCAUCAGUGAUUGUGUAUAUGACCUGUGAACUUCAACUGAGCAGCAAGGUUUUGAGAAAUGUCUGCAAAAAGAGAGAGAGAGAAUUUAAACACUCCCACAUGGCUAGAAGAGAACCGUGAUGGAGCCCAGAUGUAGUGUGAGGACACUGAUGUUCCUGUUCCAAGAAAGGCUGUGGCCAACCCUCCAGCCUGCUUUAAUGUCAUAAUGACUGUAGCAAAUCACAACCAGAAGACAGAGGCGCUCUGCCAUUUGCCUGCUCCUUCUAUGAAUGACUGUG